GGGUUGUGAGGUUAAGCGACUAAGCGUACACGGUGGAUGCCCUGGCAGUCAGAGGCGAUGAAGGACGUGCUAAUCUGCGAAAAGCGUCGGUAAGGUGAUAUGAACCGUUACAGCCGGCGAUGUCCGAAUGGGGAAACCCAGUGCAAUUCGUUGCACUAUCGUUAACUGAAUACAUAGGUUAACGAGGCGAACCGGGGGAACUGAAACAUCUAAGUACCCCGAGGAAAAGAAAUCAACCGAGAUUCCCCCAGUAGCGGCGAGCGAACGGGGAGCAGCCCAGAGUCUGAAUCAGCUUGUGUGUUAGUGGAACGGUCUGGAAAGUCCGACGGUACAGGGUGAUAGUCCCGUACACCAAAAUGCACAGGCUGUGAACUCGAAGAGUAGGGCGGGACACGUGGUAUCCUGUCUGAAUAUGGGGGGACCAUCCUCCAAGGCUAAAUACUCCUGACUGACCGAUAGUGAACCAGUACCGUGAGGGAAAGGCGAAAAGAACCCCGGCGAGGGGAGUGAAAAAGAACCUGAAACCGUGUACGUACAAGCAGUGGGAGCACCUUCGGGUGUGACUGCGUACCUUUUGUAUAAUGGGUCAGCGACUUAUAUUCUGUAGCAAGGUUAACCGUAUAGGGGAGCCGCAGGGAAACCGAGUCUUAACUGGGCGUUAAGUUGCAGGGUAUAGACCCGAAACCCGGUGAUCUAGCCAUGGGCAGGUUGAAGGUUGGGUAACACUAACUGGAGGACCGAACCGACUAAUGUUGAAAAAUUAGCGGAUGACUUGUGGCUGGGGGUGAAAGGCCAAUCAAACCGGGAGAUAGCUGGUUCUCCCCGAAAGCUAUUUAGGUAGCGCCUCGUGAAUUCAUCUUCGGGGGUAGAGCACUGUUUCGGCUAGGGGGUCAUCCCGACUUACCAACCCGAUGCAAACUACGAAUACCGAAGAAUGUUAUCACGGGAGACACACGGCGGGUGCUAACGUCCGUCGUGAAGAGGGAAACAACCCAGACCGCCAGCUAAGGUCCCAAAGUCAUGGUUAAGUGGGAAACGAUGUGGGAAGGCACAGACAGCCAGGAUGUUGGCUUAGAAGCAGCCAUCAUUUAAAGAAAGCGUAAUAGCUCACUGGUCGAGUCGGCCUGCGCGGAAGAUGUAACGGGGCUAAACCAUGCACCGAAGCUGCGGCAGCGACACUAUGUGUUGUUGGGUAGGGGAGCGUUCUGUAAGCCUGCGAAGGUGUGCUGUGAGGCAUGCUGGAGGUAUCAGAAGUGCGAAUGCUGACAUAAGUAACGAUAAAGCGGGUGAAAAGCCCGCUCGCCGGAAGACCAAGGGUUCCUGUCCAACGUUAAUCGGGGCAGGGUGAGUCGACCCCUAAGGCGAGGCCGAAAGGCGUAGUCGAUGGGAAACAGGUUAAUAUUCCUGUACUUGGUGUUACUGCGAAGGGGGGACGGAGAAGGCUAUGUUAGCCGGGCGACGGUUGUCCCGGUUUAAGCAUGUAGGCUGGUUGUCCAGGCAAAUCCGGAUAAUCAAGGCUGAGGUGUGAUGACGAGGCACUACGGUGCUGAAGUAACAAAUGCCCUGCUUCCAGGAAAAGCCUCUAAGCAUCAGGUAACAUUAAAUCGUACCCCAAACCGACACAGGUGGUCAGGUAGAGAAUACCAAGGCGCUUGAGAGAACUCGGGUGAAGGAACUAGGCAAAAUGGUGCCGUAACUUCGGGAGAAGGCACGCUGGUGUGUAGGUGAAGUCCCUGCGGAUGGAGCUGAGACCAGUCGAAGAUACCAGCUGGCUGCAACUGUUUAUUAAAAACACAGCACUGUGCAAACACGAAAGUGGACGUAUACGGUGUGACGCCUGCCCGGUGCCGGAAGGUUAAUUGAUGGGGUUAUCCGUAAGGAGAAGCUCUUGAUCGAAGCCCCGGUAAACGGCGGCCGUAACUAUAACGGUCCUAAGGUAGCGAAAUUCCUUGUCGGGUAAGUUCCGACCUGCACGAAUGGCGUAAUGAUGGCCAGGCUGUCUCCACCCGAGACUCAGUGAAAUUGAACUCGCUGUGAAGAUGCAGUGUACCCGCGGCAAGACGGAAAGACCCCGUGAACCUUUACUAUAGCUUGACACUGAACAUUGAGCCUUGAUGUGUAGGAUAGGUGGGAGGCUUUGAAGCGUGGACGCCAGUCUGCGUGGAGCCAACCUUGAAAUACCACCCUUUAAUGUUUGAUGUUCUAACGUUGGCCCCUUAUCGGGGUUGCGGACAGUGUCUGGUGGGUAGUUUGACUGGGGCGGUCUCCUCCCAAAGCGUAACGGAGGAGCACGAAGGUUAGCUAAUCCUGGUCGGACAUCAGGAGGUUAGUGCAAUGGCAUAAGCUAGCUUGACUGCGAGCGUGACGGCGCGAGCAGGUGCGAAAGCAGGUCAUAGUGAUCCGGUGGUUCUGAAUGGAAGGGCCAUCGCUCAACGGAUAAAAGGUACUCCGGGGAUAACAGGCUGAUACCGCCCAAGAGUUCAUAUCGACGGCGGUGUUUGGCACCUCGAUGUCGGCUCAUCACAUCCUGGGGCUGAAGUAGGUCCCAAGGGUAUGGCUGUUCGCCAUUUAAAGUGGUACGCGAGCUGGGUUUAGAACGUCGUGAGACAGUUCGGUCCCUAUCUGCCGUGGGCGCUGGAGAAUUGAGGGGGGCUGCUCCUAGUACGAGAGGACCGGAGUGGACGCAUCACUGGUGUUCGGGUUGUCAUGCCAAUGGCACUGCCCGGUAGCUAAAUGCGGAAGAGAUAAGUGCUGAAAGCAUCUAAGCACGAAACUUGCCCCGAGAUGAGUUCUCCCUGAGACUUUAAGUCUCCUGAAGGAACGUUGAAGACGACGACGUUGAUAGGCCGGGUGUGUAAGCGCAGCGAUGCGUUGAGCUAACCGGUACUAAUGAACCGUGAGGCUUAACCUUACAACGCCGAAG
rnacentral:rRNA from 1 species